GGGUCUGUAGCUCAGGUGGUUAGAGUGCACGCCUGAUAAGCGUGAGGUCGGAGGUUCAACUCCUCCCAGACCCACCA
rnacentral:tRNA from 1 species